rnacentral:rRNA from 1 species
UACGUAGGGUGCGAGCGUUAAUCGGAAUUACUGGGCGUAAAGCGUGCGCAGGCGGUUUGCUAAGACAGGUGUGAAAUCCCCGGGCUUAACCUGGGAACUGCGCUUAUGACUGGCAGGCUAGAGUACGGUAGAGGGGGGUGGAAUUCCUGGUGUAGCAGUGAAAUGCGUAGAUAUCAGGAGGAACACCGAUGGCGAAGGCAGCCCCCUGGGCCUGUACUGACGCUCAUGCACGAAAGCGUGGGGAGCAAACAGGAUUAGAUACCCCGGUAGU